UUUUCUUCGUUUUUCAUCGUUGGAGGCCUUCUGGACCUCCGAUUUCGAUUAUGUAAAAAGUCAAACGCUCAGGAAAUUACAACCCAUGCAAUACUCUAAUUAUCUAAAGUUAAUUUACAGUUUUAACACUAUUAAAUCAUUUAAUCACAGUUUUAAGUUUAUGCCUAAAACCUUCGAAAUUGCAACAAUGGUGGAUAUAUGUUCAAUCAUAAAAAAAAAAAAAUACACACAUAUAAGGGACAUGAAAUUCAUCAUAUAAUCAUCAUAUAACAAUCAUCAUAGCAUCCAAAUUCAAAAUUAUGAAUCAAAACACCAAACCCUAAUGAGGUUAA
rnacentral:lncRNA from 1 species